AUAGUCUCAAAGUCAUUGGGGUUUAGAAUAGUCUCAUAGUCAUUGGGGUUUAGAAUAGUCUUAUUGUCAUUGUGGUUUAGAAUAGUCUCAUGGUAGUUUGGUUUUCUUCUGAACCUAGGAUUCUAAGGUCAGCAUUCCUCUGAUCAACGUAGAUUACUAAAGAACCCAUUGGAAUCAACCACUUCACUCCAACUCUUGGGGAAAUAGGAGCUAAGUAUCCUCCCCAAAAAAAAUUCUAUCGUCUUUACCAUCAAUACAUUUAUCCAUUUUUUAACCUGUAAAGAACAUUUAUCUAUUGAGGGCCAAUAUCUUCUAGAACUUGAAGCACUUACAGGACGGUUUGUUGAGGCAACCUCUUGGAGAUAAAGCGACAGUGAUACCCACUCAAUAGUCUCAAAGUCAUUGGUUUAGAUUACUCUCAAGUCAUUUGGUUUUCUUCUAAGCCUAGGAUUCUAAGGUCAGCAUUCCUCAGAUCAACAUAGAUUAAUAAAGAAGCCAUUGCAAUCAGCAACUUCACUCCAACUUCUAGAGAAAUAUCAUGGAGCUAAGGAACCUCCAGAAAAAUGAUUCUAUUGUCUUUAUCAUCAAAAAAUUUAUCCAUUUUUUGCACCUAUAAUGAAUGUUUAGAAAUUGCGAG